rnacentral:rRNA from 1 species
UACGGAGGGUGCGAGCGUUGGCCGGAAUCAUUGGGCGUAAAGAGCUCGUAGGCGGCUUGUCACGUCGGAUGUGAAAGCCCGGGGCUUAACUCCGGGUCUGCAUUCGAUACGGGCUGGCUAGAGUGUGGUAGGGGAGAUCGGAAUUCCUGGUGUAGCGGUGAAAUGCGCAGAUAUCAGGAGGAACACCGGUGGCGAAGGCGGAUCUCUGGGCAGUAACUGACGCUGAGGAGCGAAAGCGUGGGGAGCGAACAGG